rnacentral:rRNA from 1 species
UACGGAGGAUGCGAGCGUUAUCCGGAUUUAUUGGGUUUAAAGGGUGCGUAGGCGGACUGCCAGGUCAGCGGUAAAAUUGAGAGGCUCAACCUCUUCCCGCCGUUGAAACUGGUGGUCUUGAGUGGAUGAGAAGUACGCGGAAUGCGUGGUGUAGCGGUGAAAUGCAUAGAUAUCACGCAGAACUCCGAUUGCGAAGGCAGCGUACCGGCAUCCAACUGACGCUGAGGCACGAAAGCGUGGGGAUCAAACAGG